UACGUAGGGCGCAAGCGUUGUCCGGAAUUAUUGGGCGUAAAGAGCGUGUAGGCGGCCAUGUAGGUCCGGUGUGAAAACUCGAGGCUUAACCUCGAGAUGUCAUCGGAAACCAUUUGGCUAGAGUCCGGAAGAGGAGAGUGGAAUUCCUGGUGUAGCGGUGAAAUGCGCAGAUAUCAGGAAGAACACCAAUGGCGAAAGCAGCUCUCUGGGACGGUACUGACGCUGAGACGCGAAAGCGUGGGGAGCGAACAGG
rnacentral:rRNA from 1 species